rnacentral:misc_RNA from 1 species
UGCAUGCCUCUUCUGCCCGGUCA